AUGGAAGAAGGGAAAGACAAGAAUAACACCACCGAGAAGGGGCUGUUCUCAAACAUGAUGCAUGGGUAUCCACCUCAUGGAGGAUAUGGAUACCCUCCUCAAGGUUACCCGCCACCAGGGGUCCCCUACCCUGCUCCCGGGGCGUAUCCUCCUCCACCGCAAUAUGGGUACCCUCAGCCGGGUGGCUACCCACCUCACGGUGGAUAUCCCCCCGUCGGCUACCCUGUUAUUAGCUCAGAUUUAUUUAUGUCAUCACUUCUUGAUAAUCUGUUUCAGGCUACGGGGGUGGCCACGGAGGCCAUGGCUAUGGCGGCGGGCACAUGGGCUACGGAGGCGGCUAUGGCGGCGGCGGCCAUGCUCUCGGGCACCACCAUGGAGGCCACGGCUACGGCCAUUAUGGUCACGGAGGCCAUGGCUACGGGCACCACGGUCCCGGACACUACCACGGCGGGCACGGCUGGGGGCACCAUGGCCAUGGAUAUCACCACCACCACCACCACGAUAAUAAGGUCUGCUAAUAAGUAG
rnacentral:rRNA from 1 species